rnacentral:rRNA from 1 species
AUUGAACGCUGGCGGCAUGCCUUACACAUGCAAGUCGAACGGUAACGCGGGGCAACCUGGCGACGAGUGGCGAACGGGUGAGUAAUGCAUCGGAACGUACCCGGAAGUGGGGGAUAACGUAGCGAAAGUUACGCUAAUACCGCAUAUUCUGUGAGCAGGAAAGCAGGGGAUCGCAAGACCUUGCGCUUUCGGAGCGGCCGAUGUCGGAUUAGCUAGUUGGUGAGGUAAAAGCUCACCAAGGCGACGAUCCGUAGCUGGUCUUAGAGGAUGAUCAGCCACACUGGGACUGAGACACGGCCCAGACUCCUACGGGAGGCAGCAGUGGGGAAUUUUGGACAAUGGGGGCAACCCUGAUCCAGCCAUGCCGCGUGAGUGAAGAAGGCCUUCGGGUUGUAAAGCUCUUUCGGACAGAAAGAAAUCGCAUCGGCUAAUACUCGAUGUGGAUGACGGUACUGUCAUAAGAAGCACCGGCUAACUACGUGCCAGCCGCCGCCGUAACAC